rnacentral:ribozyme from 1 species
CCCAACGUUAGUAGUAGUGGAUAUGCAGUGGUUGAUCAUUCUCUGAGCGCCACUCAUAGCUUCGAGAACGAUCCUUUGAGAUGGAAGAAGAAUGAACCUGCUUCUGCUCAUUGGCCCAAACCUCGAGAUAAGAAAGACCUUGCUGUGUCCUCAUCCAUGGUGCCCUCGAACUUAGCCAGAGAUAGCAGCCUUAGCCAGGUAAGCAAUCCGCGCAGACACAUUUAACAAAGAUU